AUUGAACGCUGGCGGAAUGCUUUACACAUGCAAGUCGAACGGUAGAGGGGGCAACCCCUCGAGAGUGGCGAACGGGUGAGUAAUAUAUCGGAACGUGCCCAGUCGUGGGGGAUAACGUAGCGAAAGUUACGCUAAUACCGCAUACGAUCUAAGGAUGAAAGCGGGGGAUCGCAAGACCUCGCGCGAUUGGAGCGGCCGAUAUCAGGUUAGGUAGUUGGUGGGGUAAAGGCUCACCAAGCCAACGAUCUGUAGCUGGUCUGAGAGGACGACCAGCCACACUGGAACUGAGACACGGUCCAGACUCCUACGGGAGGCAGCAGUGGGGAAUUUUGGACAAUGGACGCAAGUCUGAUCCAGCCAUUCCGCGUGCAGGAUGAAGGCCCUCGGGUUGUAAACUGCUUUUGUACGGAACGAAAAGGUCUCUCUUAAUACGGGGGGCUCAUGACGGUACCGUAAGAAUAAGCACCGGCUAACUACGUGCGAGCAGCCGCCGUAA
rnacentral:rRNA from 1 species